AUUGAACGCUGGCGGCAGGCCUAACACAUGCAAGUCGAGCGAGUGGCGGACGGGUGAGUAAUGUCUGGGAAACUGCCUGAUGGAGGGGGAUAACGACUGGAAACGGUAGCUAAUACCGCAUACCAUCAGAUGUGCCCAGAUGGGAUUAGCUAGUUGGUGGGGUAACGGCUCACCUAGGCGACGAUCCCUAGCUGGUCUGAGAGGAUGACCGGCCACACUGGAACGGAGACACGGCCCAGACUCCUACGGGAGGCAGCAGUGGGGAAUAUUGCACAAUGGGCGCAAGCCUGAUGCAGCCAUGCCGCGUGUAUGAAGAAGGCCUUCGGGUUGUAAAGUACUUUCAGCGGCGAGGCGUUACCCGCAGAAGAAGCACCGGCUAACUCCGUGCCAGCAGCCGCGGUAAUUC
rnacentral:rRNA from 1 species